AGAGGGGAAUAGCCCUGGGAAACUGGGAUUAAUACUCCAUAGUAUAUAGAUGGCGCAUGCUGUUAUNUAAAGUUGAGGCGCUGUAAGAUGGGCGUGCGUGCUAUUAGCUAGUUGGUGAGGUAACGGCUCACCAAGGCUACGAUAGCUAGGGGGCGUGAGACGCGUGGCCCCCCACACGGGUACUGAGACACGGACCCGACUCCUACGGGAGGCAGCAGUAAGGAAUAUUGGACAAUGGUCGAAAGACUGAUCCAGCCAUCCCGCGUGCAGGAUGACUGCCCUAUGGGUUGUAAACUGCUUUUAUAUGGGAAGAAUAGCAUAGAUUCAUCUGUGUAUGACGGUACCAUAUGAAUAAGCACCGGCUAACUCCGUG
rnacentral:rRNA from 1 species